rnacentral:rRNA from 1 species
GUGGGGAAUAUUGGACAAUGGGCGAAAGCCUGAUCCAGCAAUGCCGCGUGAGUGAUGAAGGCCUUAGGGUUGUAAAGCUCUUUUACCAGGGAUGAUAAUGACAGUACCUGGAGAAUAAGCUCCGGCUAACUCCGUGCCAGCAGCCGCGGUAAUACGGAGGGAGCUAGCGUUGUUCGGAAUUACUGGGCGUAAAGCGCACGUAGGCGGUUACUCAAGUCAGAGGUGAAAGCCCGGGGCUCAACCCCGGAACUGCCUUUGAAACUAGGUAGCUAGAAUCUUGGAGAGGUCAGUGGAAUUCCGAGUGUAGAGGUGAAAUUCGUAGAUAUUCGGAAGAACACCAGUGGCGAAGGCGACUGACUGGACAAGUAUUGACGCUGAGGUGCGAAAGCGUGGGGAGCAAACAGGAUUAGAUACCCGAGUAGUCC